rnacentral:tRNA from 1 species
GGGUCGAUUGGACUUGGGAGUCCAAGCUGUCUGUAAAACAGUCGCUCCUUGACGAGCAAUGUAGGUUCGAUUCCUACUCGGCCCA